rnacentral:misc_RNA from 1 species
UUUAUUUGUUUAUAAUUUUUUACUCAGACAUCAAAAUUCAAGAGUUUGUAUCUUCGGCGAACAACUCGUCCGCUCGAAAGCCGACGGUCAAUAAAGACGGCUCGCCGAAGCAACAGGUCAUGUUAAACAUAGGGUGGGAGGUAACACUUGCGUGUCAACACUCAGUAAUGAUCCUUCCGCAGGUUCACCUACGGAAA